rnacentral:tmRNA from 1 species
GGGGCUGACUUGGAUUUCGACAGAUUUCUUGUCGCACAGAUAGCAUGCCAAGUGCUGCUUGUAAAACAGCAACAAAAAUAACUGUAAACAACGCAGAUUACGCUCCAGCUUACGCUAAAGCUGCGUGAGUUAAUCUCCUUUUGGAGCUGGACUGAUUAGAAUUUCUAGCGUUUUAAUCACUCCAUAACCUUAAGCUAGACGCUUUUAAAAGGUGGUUCGCCUUUUAAACUAAGAAACAAGAACUCUUGAAACUACCUCAAGGUUUUAGAAAGUUGGACCAGAGCUAGUUUUAAGGCUAAAAAACUAACCAAUUUUCUAAGCAUUGUAGAAGUUUGUGUUUAGGGCAAGAUUUUUGGACUGGGGUUCGAUUCCCCACAGCUCCACCA